rnacentral:lncRNA from 1 species
AUUAAAAGGUAUUUGACUAAUUUGAUUUUGUCCUUGAUAACUGAGAGGCAACCAAAUGCCUGUUCUAUGUAUUUAUUAAAGUAACAGUACACUUAAAACAUGAUGUAGGUAUCGUGGGUUUAUGUACAUAAGUCAGAAAAUUUGAAGCCUUGGUGGGGUUUUCAGAUAUUGAAUUUUAGUCAGCAUCCCCUUUAAAAAGAAUGUGCUUUGUUUUCUAACAAAAUUAAAUGUUUUAAUUGUAAUAGUUUUGGUUUCUAGUUAAUAUUUAUGAAGGAUCUUUCUGCAUUUUUGUUUUGUGUAAGUUUCCUUUUAUAUUUUAAUGUACUUCCUUAGACUUUACUUGUAUUUUCCUCGUCCCCUUGCACUUUAGUCAUUGUAGACAUUUAUCAGAUCUUUACUGAGUACCAUGGACUGCUUCUAACUAUACAAAUGCCUUAAAUGUCACCACUUUGUUGCAUAAGAAAAGCCUAGUGCUGGCGUUUACCUGAAUGAAAGGCACAGUUAGUCAAAGUUAAUCAUACUCUAAGAAUGAGGCCAUUAUAUUUUAACAAGAGUUUUUAAAUUAAACUACUAAUAGGUGGCUGAAGCGGUCUAAAACAAACUUUGAGGAAAAUUACAUCUUGUUUGAGCUUAUCUGCUUAACUUUGACCUUCUGGUGGACAGGGAGUUGCACCAUCAUAGAUGUGAAGGAGGAUCCAGAUUCUAGAAAAUGUGAAUGAGAACAUUCAGGUAUAGCGACUACAAAUAAAGAUAAGCAAAUUACUGGUGGGUCGACUGAAGCGGUGGGAGUAGAUUAAAUCACCCAGAAGAAACUGCUGAUAGAGCAGGCUCAGUACUCUGAGAGGUGAUCACUUGUUAGGAAAUGUCACUUUAACUUCAUAGGAUUACUGAAACUGUAUCUUUGAGUGUCAUUCUUAUAAAAAACAUUAUAUAAAGCACUUAUAGUUAUACUCACGUGUGAUUAAACUGGAUUGUUGAUGAGUAUGAUAGACAUUUUAGGUUGGAUUAUUUAAAAAGCUUUAAAAAUAGCAUCAGACUGGCAUUGAACAUGUCUUUGGGCCUGUUACCAGUAGUUACAGUGUGCAGUGCUACAAGAACAUAAGUGUGUCUUGCAGGAAGUUAAGGCUUUGAUUUCAUAACAGUUCUGACUUAUAGGCUGGGACAAGAUUUUAGAGGUUAAGGUUUAAAAAAAUAAUAAGUUGUUUCUUUGCUUCAUUAACAUCUUACAGUCUAUUUCAGGAGAUUUCUGACCCACCUGAGCUCCCAAAUCCAAUCUUAUAGGCAUGUUAAUUAAUAUUUAAAAUGCAGCCUUUUAUUUAAAUAAUGGUUGUCAGUAUAUUUUGGUGUAAAGACAAUAUAAAAGUUAAAACAC